rnacentral:rRNA from 1 species
GACAGAGGGUGCAAACGUUGUUCGGAUUUACUGGGCGUAAAGGGCGCGUAGGCGGCCACGACAAGUCACUUGUGAAAUCGUCCGGGCUUAACUCGGAACGGUCAAGUGAUACUGUCGGGCUAGAGUGCGGAAGGGGCAACUGGAAUUCUCGGUGUAGCGGUGAAAUGCGCAGAUAUCGGGAAGAACACCCGGUGGCGAAGGCGGUUCUCUGGGACGGUACUGACGCUGGAGACGCGAAAGCCGUGGGGAGCGAACAGG